rnacentral:rRNA from 1 species
UACGUAGGCAGCGAGCGUUGUUCGGAGUUACUGGGCGUAAAGAGUGCGUAGGCGGUUUUCUAAGUUUGGUGUGAAAUCUCCCGGCUUAACUGGGAGGGUGCGCCGAAGACUGGAAGGCUUGAGUAUGGGAGAGGUAAGCGGAAUUCCUGGUGUAGCGGUGAAAUGCGUAGAUAUCAGGAGGAACACCUGCGGUGUAGACGGCUUACUGGACCGUAACUGACGCUGAGGCACGAAAGCGUGGGUAGCAAACAGG